rnacentral:rRNA from 1 species
GACGAACACUGGCGGCGUGCCUAACACAUGCAAGUCGAACGGGGCACCUUCGGGUGCUUAGUGGCGAACGGGUGAGUAACGCGUGAGAAACCUGCCUUUCAGUGGGGGACAACAGUUGGAAACGACUGCUAAUACCGCAUAAUGUUAUUUGGGGGCAUCCCUGAAUAACCAAAGCUUUAUGUGCUGAAAUAUGGUCUCGCGUCUGAUUAGCUAGAUGGCGGGGUAACGGCCCACCAUGGCGACGAUCAGUAGCCGGUCUGAGAGGAUGAACGGCCACAUUGGGACGGAGAUACGGCCCAGACUCCUACGGGAGGCAGCAGUGGGGAAUAUUGGGCAAUGGGGGAAACCCUGACCCAGCAACGCCGCGUGAAGGAAGAAGGCCUUCGGGUUGUAAACUUCUUUUAGCAGGGACGAAGAACGUGACGGUACCUGCAGAAAAAGCAACGGCUAACUACGUGCCAGCCGCCGCCGUAAAAC